rnacentral:rRNA from 1 species
UACGUAGGGUGCAAGCGUUGUCCGGAAUUAUUGGGCGUAAAGAGCUCGUAGGCGGCCUGUCGCGUCGGAUGUGAAAGCCCGGGGCUUAACCCCGGGUCUGCAUUCGAUACGGGUAGGCUAGAGUUCGGUAGGGGAGAUCGGAAUUCCUGGUGUAGCGGUGAAAUGCGCAGAUAUCAGGAGGAACACCGGUGGCGAAGGCGGAUCUCUGGGCCGAUACUGACGCUGAGGAGCGAAAGCGUGGGGAGCGAACAGG